rnacentral:rRNA from 1 species
UACGAAGGUCCCGAGCGUUGUUCGGAAUCACUGGGCGUAAAGGGAGCGUAGGCGGCGUGGUAAGUCAGAUGUGAAAUCCCGGGGCUCAACCCCGGAACUGCAUCCGAUACUGCCGUGCUCGAGGGUUGGAGAGGUAGCUGGAAUUAUCGGUGUAGCAGUGAAAUGCGUAGAUAUCGAGAGGAACACCAGUGGCGAAGGCGAGUCCCUGGACAACACCUGACACUGAGGCACGAAAGCUAGGGGAGCAAACGGG